ACGGAUUCUUGCAAGUUGUCCUCUGGCCUUCUCCAUAACAGCUCUGUGGCAUACUGAGCUGCGCACACGCAUGUGGAGACACACAGCUGGAGAUGUGAACUCCCAUCUGCUGCUGCCACCGCUGCCACCACCAUGUCUGCCGCCACCACCAUGUCUGCCGCCUCCACCAUGUCUGCCACCACCAUGUCUGCCGCCACCACCAUGUCUGCCGCCACCACCAUGUCUGCCGCCUCCACCAUGUCUGCCACCACUGUAUCUGCCACCACCACCAUGUCUGCUGCCACCCCCAUGUCUGCCGAUGCCACCACCAUGUCUGCCACCACCAUGUCUGCAGCCUGGUGCUACAGUUCCCUGCCAUGGUGGAUUUUUACCCCCCUGGAACCAUUAGCUCAAAUAAAUCCUUUCCUCAUGUGAGUAUCGGAACGUGGUCAGAAGAACGACGCAUGGUGAACGGUGCCUUGGGGAGCCCUGAGAGAGGCUCCAGUAAAAAAGGCAGAGGGUGUUUUACCUCGGGUGCAUUUUGUUUCCUGAAUUGUUCUUGGACGUGAUUUCAUGCCUCCUGCAACAAACAUUUACAUUCAGUUUGUAAGACAUGUUUAUUCUUGUUGGAUAUCAGAGCAUAGCUAUAGAGCCCAGUCUGGUCAGUGUACCCACAUCUGCAUGUGGAUGUCUACCUUGCUUUUGUGCUUUCCCAGAUAUAACCCAUAGCACGUGCCAAGCAACUGUGGCUAAAUGGGAUGGUCCUGCGAACGUUCUGGGGAAGAGCUGCUGUGUUUACAUGUUCCUCUGAUCGUGUCUUUCUGAAGGUGAACAACCACCCUGAGAUCAGUGCUUUCUUAGUUACACUGAUGAAUAAAAGCACAGUUAACCUAA